AUUGAACGCUGGCGGAAUGCUUUACACAUGCAAGUCGAACGGCAGCACGGGGGCAACCCUGGUGGCGAGUGGCGAACGGGUGAGUAACACAUCGGAACGUGCCCAGUCGUGGGGGAGUAACGUAGCGAAAGCUACGCUAAUACCGCAUACGAACUCUGGUUGAAAGCGGGGACUCNCAAGGCCUCGCGCGAUUGGAGCGGCCGAUAUCUGAUUAGCUAGUUGGUGGGGUAAAGGCCACCAAGGCAUCGAUCGGUAGCUGGUCUGAGAGGAUGAUCAGCCACACUGGGACUGAGACACGGCCCAGACUCCUACGGGAGGCAGCAGUGGGGAAUUUUGGACAAUGGGGGCAACCCUGAUCCAGCCAUGCCGCGUG
rnacentral:rRNA from 1 species